CUGUGAUGCUGACAUUGAUGGGCGAUUUGCAAUUGACUCAGCUGGGUUUGAACAGCAUUUAAUAUUGCCUUAUGACUGCAAGAAAAAAAAAAGUCAUUCUCAAGAAUUUUACUGACAUUGAGGAAGACAGGAGUAAAUGAAACAAAAAGGAAUAAGAGAACUCCUUUUUCCUGCUUUGUACUCCAAGAAAAUUCUAGAUUAAUAUAAAGAAGAUAACAGAUUUUUCAAGUAUCCAGAAUGAAGAAUUCCAUUGAUUCUGCUUUCUUUCUAGGAGGGUCUGUAAUUUCCAUGGCUCUUUCAAGAGAUCAGGUCGGUUUUUGGUUGAAGAUCGGUGUUUUCUUCUCAGCUGAUUAUCAGUGAUAGCCUUUAAAACAGAUUUACUCGCCUGAAUUAGUUGAGUGUCUAUGUAGUCAGUGACAAAUGCAAGCAUAUUUACUUGCAAUGUUUUCUUUUUCUAGAGGAAAUGUUGUGAAGCCACUGCACGUGAACAGCAUCUCUGGGGAAGAAACACAUGAUUGUGAAUUUUAAAGGAGAGAAUCAACGCCUGUCUGCCUCCAGUCACUCUCUUGUUGCCUUGGCUAUUCUGUUGUUGGCAGAUAGUUCAGGAACCAUGCUACCUGUUCUCUAACUGAACCAAGAACCAGACCCUGGAGCAGGACUGUGCUGGUACUGGUUGGCUGCAGGUCCACUGGAGUCCUAGCGUUGAGAGAGACCCUAAUAGGUCAAGCAUGGAACUCUUUAGGAAGAAAAUUAAUGCAUCCUUGGACUCCUGAAGGAAGAGCCUUCCUGAUGGGACCAUUUUCAAGCUGUUUUGUGACAAGGAACACUCUCCUCCUGUAUUACUUUUGUGAUAUGGGAACAUCAAUGACAGCAGUGGAAGAGAGUUGGAGGAGCUGUGGAAUUAGAUUGUGUUCAGCUAAUAAACCUUCAUGCUGAAAUGGGCAAUUGCAAAGCUGUAUAUUCCAAAAGGAGAAGUGGAGUUGUGUAUAUUGUGUACGUAUGCAAUGUUAGCACUUAAAUCAAGAAGAUCUUUCUAGCUUUCUCCUUUGUAGCCAUCUUAAGAGGCCCUGGAUAGUCCUAGUGUUUGGUUUCUCUGCUUGAGGCAGAGAGACCAGGCAAUUGCAGGCUUUGGAGAGGCAGAAUGAAACCUUGGCCUGUCCCCCUAUAAAUUGCUAGGAUUUAACCAACUGCCACACACAACAGGAUUGGGCAAAGGGCACCCAGAUCUGCAGUUCUGGAGGCAUUUUGCCCUUGGUGACACAGAUGCUGGAUUUGCUGGUAUACGAUACCUUUUGGUACUGCAGCAGUCCGUCAUUCCUGUUAUCCGUCUUUAAUUUAUGCAGCUAUCUAGAGCCUUUUGCACUAAGAAUUUAUACAUGUUCUAUACAACAUGCAAUGUUCCUGAGCUUAGCUCUGAAAACUGUAGGAGACCUUUCAUAAAGUAUUGAUGUUGUUCAGUAUAUGAAUGUAAAAACAGAAAAGGAAUGACUGUAUUGCAAAUUCAAAAAAACCUCUUAAAAUAUGAAUAGAUUAGCAGCAUUUUAUGCUGACUGUAAAUAUCAUGGAUGAGACCCACUCUAGUUUGUAAAAUGUAACCAUUGGGGAGAUUCAGUAGGCUUUUACUUCCUGUCAUAGAACGAUUCCUGUUGAUUUACAUCGAGAAACGUGUGUUACAAAUACUUCUGGAGCUGCUUUUGACCUGUUGCCAUGUUUGAACAUUUUUUGCCGUAUCUGGAACAGUAUGCACAUCAUAGAACAUUAAAAAAAAAAAAUUAGGUUACAUUAAAGUUUUUUUUAUGUUAAGCAUAAUGUUUGAGAAUUGUAUAUGGCUCUGGCUAGGGUUUUGGAAAGCUGUACUUAACCCAAACAAUUUUAGGCUAAAUUUGGAAUUGCAUACAUAUUCAGUUAUUGAAUUAUUUACAAUAUGUUACAUAUCUGUAUUGGAUAAGUAACUCUUACUUGAAAAACGGGCUUUUUGACUUGUCUUUGACUUGACAAGCUGAGCUACCCAAUGGUCCACAGUACUGCAUGUGCUGUGAUUGCCAAAUAGCUGUCUUGACCAAUUAAAUUACUUCUUAAUAUUCUUUCUACUCUGAAAAAUACCUGUAUUCUUAAAAUCUUCUGAAUUAAAUAGUACAAAUAUUGUUAGACUUACUGUGGACUUUGUUUUUCCAACUGUGUUUGGGUCUACACUAUGAAUUGGCCUGUGUCUUGCAGACAUGUAGCUAUCAGACUGUAUGCUAAAUAUGAGCUCAGGUCUUUGCUUAGGCUAUUGUACUGCAGCACUCUAAAGAAGUUCUUUGUAACAGAACAAAUGGACAGUUAGCCCAUAUUGGGUUUGCAAGGAGCUUCAGAAACUACAGUCACACUCUAAUAUAGUUAUUAAAUAUUGAAAUCAUUUAUUUUUCUGGUACUUGGACAUGUAAAAAGCAUUAAGAUUCAGCAAUACUUAAAUGCAAAGGAAAAUAUUGAUCAUGAUUUGGAAAUGUGCUAUUAGUUAUGGAAUAAUGUUAUAAUUUUUCAUCUUUUACUGUUUAAAAAUUAAUCCGUUCCUUUUCUCUCUGUGGCUUAAAAGGCUUUGUUGUGCAAGCUGGAGGCUCAAGGCGGGGAGCCUCCUGGUUCUUUUCUGUUCAAGAAGUAGCUUUGGAGAGUAUAUUGAUGGCAAGGGGCUCGUGGAGUUCUGUCUCUUCUUUGUAUGAACUUCCUAUGUACCCUAAAGUUUCCUCCUUGUUCUGUAGCUAAUGUUUUGAAAACCAAUGGAACAAUAUGCAGAAGGGCGUACUCCUCAAAAUGAGUAGUUCCAGAAUCUGACCCCCUUGGCAUCAGCCAUCAGAAUAACUCUGGGAGCAGAACUGUGAAUUCUGUUUUCUUGUGUUUGCACUCGUAAUUCUCAAAAUUAUGAUUAUUUCUAAUUUUCUUCAAUUAAAAAUAAAUUUAAA
rnacentral:lncRNA from 1 species